CGCUGGCGGCGUGCUAAUACAUGCAAGUCGAACGAGAACCUUGGAUUCGUCUGGGGGGGAGAGUGGCGAACUGGUGAGUAACGCGUGGGUGACCUGCCCCGAAGACGGGGAUAACCGUUGGAAACGACGGCUAAUACCCGAUAUACUCGGUGAUUCGGUUCAUCGAGUAAAGGCUCCGGUGCUUCGGGAUGGGCCUGCGGCCUAUCAGCUAGUUGGUGGGGUAAUGGCCCACCAAGGCGAAGACGGGUAGGGGGCGCGAGAGCGCGGCCCCCCACACUGGCACUGAGAUACGGGCCAGACUUCUACGGAAGGCAGCAGUCGGGGAUAUUGCACAAUCGGCGAAAGCCGGAUGCAGCGACGCCGCGUGGGCGAUGAAGGCCUUCGGGUUGUAAAGCCCUUUUAUGGGGGAAGAGACAAGGACGGUACCCCAAGAAUAAGCGUCGGCUAACUACGUGCCAGCAGCCGCGGUAAAACGUAGGACGCAAGCGUUAUCCGGANUUACUGGGCGUAAAGAGCGUUGAGGCGGUUCCGUAAGUUGGGCGUGAAAGCCCCGGGCUUAACCCGGGGAGGUCGUUCAAUACUGCGGGACUUGAGGGCAGCAGAGGGAGGCGGAAUUCCCGGUGUAGCGGUGAAAUGCGUAGAUCUCGGGGAGGAACACCAGUGGCGAAAGCGGCCUCCUGGGCUUGUUUCUGACGCUGAA
rnacentral:rRNA from 1 species